UACGUAGGGGGCAAGCGUUGUCCGGAUUUAUUGGGCGUAAAGAGCGUGUAGGCGGCUAGGUAGGUCCGUUGUGAAAACUCGAGGCUCAACCUCGAGACGCCGGUGGAAACCAUCUAGCUAGAGUCCGGAAGAGGAGAGUGGAAUUCCUGGUGUAGCGGUGAAAUGCGCAGAUAUCAGGAGGAACACCAAUAGCGAAGGCAGCUCGCUGGGACGGUACUGACGCUAAGGCGCGAAAGCGUGGGGAGCGAACAGG
rnacentral:rRNA from 1 species